UGUCGUUUAAGAAAGGUGGGCGGGGUUGCCUUCACACGGCAGGGGUCGCUGGUUCAAUCCCAGCAUCGCCCACCA
rnacentral:tRNA from 6 species